rnacentral:misc_RNA from 1 species
ACCCAGCCGCGAAAGCGUUAUCACUACAGCGAAGCCAGUGACGUCAGGAGCGUCACCUUCCAAGAAGCAUAACCUACUGGUCGAGGAACACAAUCACGCUGGAAAAUCAUCAAUUCAGAGCAGUCCAACAGUAUCAAUCACACAACCAACCGAGUGGCCGAGGGGUAGAAACGCCUUUUUUGCUGAGUAUCCACGCGACCUCACGCCAACAACUAAAGGGUCAACUUCCGCAAGGACACAUCUUACACAUCAUACGAUACACACACGGUGAUGAGCAACAUUUAAACUCACAACCACAAGAAACGAAGCUUUUAAAUCGGCCGAUUUACUCUCUUAUCUCUAAACGGCUCGAUGAAUAUGAACAAUCCAACCAACCG